rnacentral:rRNA from 1 species
UGGGGAAUUGUUCACAAUGGGCGCAAGCCUGAUGACGCAACGCCGCGUGGGGGAUGAAGGUCUUCGGAUCGUAAACCCCUGUCGAAUGGGACGAAAGACUCGCGAGUGAAUACUUCGCGAGAGUGACGGUACCGUUAAAGGAAGCCACGGCUAACUCUGUGCCAGCAGCCGCGGUAAUACAGAGGUGGCAAGCGUUGUUCGGAAUUACUGGGCGUAAAGCGCGCGUAGGUGGUUUGUUAAGUUGGAUGUGAAAGCCCCGGGCUCAACCUGGGAACUGCAUCCAAAACUGGCAAGCUAGAGUACGGUAGAGGGUGGUGGAAUUUCCUGUGUAGCGGUGAAAUGCGUAGAUAUAGGAAGGAACACCAGUGGCGAAGGCGACCACCUGGACUGAUACUGACACUGAGGUGCGAAAGCGUGGGGAGCAAACAGGAUUAGAUACCCCAGUAGUCCCUGAGCGGGCUGGCAAGGCGCAU